rnacentral:rRNA from 1 species
UAGGGAAUCUUCGGCAAUGGACGAAAGUCUGACCGAGCAACGCCGCGUGAGUGAAGAAGGUUUUCGGAUCGUAAAACUCUGAUGUUAGAGAAGAACAAGGACGUUAGUAACUGAACGUCCCCUGACGGUAUCUAACCAGAAAGCCACGGCUAACUACGUGCCAGCAGCCGCGGUAAUACGUAGGUGGCAAGCGUUGUCCGGAUUUAUUGGGCGUAAAGCGAGCGCAGGCGGUUUCUUAAGUCUGAUGUGAAAGCCCCCGGCUCAACCGGGGAGAGUCAUUGGAAACUGGGAGACUUGAGUGCAGAAUAGGAGAGUGGAAUUCCAUGUGUAGCGGUUAAAUGCGUAGAUAUAUGGAGGAACACCAGUGGCGAAGGCGGCUCUCUGGUCUGUAACUGACGCUGAGGCUCGAAAGCGUGGGGAGCAAACAGG